rnacentral:tRNA from 1 species
CGCCGUGAGGACGUUCGGGCACAGCAUUCAUAAUGCUGGGGUCGUUGGUUCAAGUCCAACCGUAGCUACCA